AGGUGCGAUCAUACUAGCGUUAAUGCAUCAUAUCCCAUCAGAACUCUGUAGUUAAGUUUGCUUGGGCUAGAAUAGUACUGGGAUGGGUGACCUCCCGAGAAGUCCUAGUGUUGCACCCU
rnacentral:rRNA from 1 species